CUUCUUCUCCUUUUCCUUUUCCUUCUUCUUCUUCUUCUCCUUCUUCUUCUUCUUCUUCUUAUUCUUCUUCUUCUUCUUUUCCUUCUUCUUGUUGUUCUUCUUUUCCUUCUUCUUCUUCUUCUUAGCUAAUUAUCCUCCAAAAUGACAUAAUUAGCUUAUUUAGUUCAUUUAUGACAAAAUUAUCUUAGUUAUGUCAAAAAUAUGAUAAGAAACUUGGUUAGCUCAUAAAUGUCAUAUACUUAGU
rnacentral:lncRNA from 1 species